AGCGUAGCCAGGAACCGGGGCGCGGCCCGCGGGGUCGCUCUCACCUCGGCCUGGGCCCGGCCGGCUGCCGGGCGAGGAAACCAAAAGCCUUCGGCUGCCGGCGCCCAGCCCCGCCGCCGAGCGCCCGCGGCGUGUUUGGGCAACUGAGGGCAGGAAUGCACGCCUGCCCUGUGCGCGAAUGGCCAUGCGGCUCGCAGAACACACACACGGCUAGGGAAGCACCCAGCAGCACUAGCCUCCUGAGCAGGUGUAGCCUGGAACACACUUCCAGCAACCCCCUCCGCAUACACCAUGGUACCUUUGUUUGCCUGGAUGGAGCCCAACAAGACCUGCAGGGUGCUGUACGGAGGCUGUUAGCCACUCAGGACACUCCAGUCCCAGUCCCACCAGGAUCCAGUGCUUGUCACCAUCUCCAUGCAGCUCGAGGCGAGCUAUUCAGAUGACAUGGACUCAAGUGCCAGCAAUAAGCAGACAACGCACAGCUCCACUUAUGUCACCACCUACGAUCACACCACUACCACCAAGAUGGCCCAGUGCUUGGACGAGAUCAGCUCAAGGAUGAAGAACAGCUGGCGGAAGCUGAACCCGAGCAAGACGGAGGGGAUGGUGGGCAGAGGAGAGCAUUUUGAGGAAUUUGCAGCCAUGGUGCCAUCUCCUUUGGAUGAAGGUUUACAGCAACAAUUGGUCAGUUCAUUCCAUAGUUAGGCAUACUCUUGGAUUCUUUGCUGAUGCUAAGCUCUCAGAUACCAGCCUCCACAAGAAAUUCUGUCAUCUACAGUUGGCUAGGAGACUUCAUCUCAUCCUGACUGAAGAUGAGCAGGCCUCAGUUUACUCUCAGUUUUGUCACUUCUUGGCUCGACUACAAUGUGAUACACCUGGGCACGAGGCCUUCGGCACUUGGGAAGCUCCAACUCAUACAGAAUGCUGCAGCGCAUCCUCUCAGCAGCCCAGGAUAACCAUGGGCACAUCACGCCAGUCCUCCACUGGAUUCCCACAGAUCUUCUAGUCAAGUUCAAGAUCUCAGUUCUUACCUUCAGGACAUGCGAUAACCUGGGCUCAGAGUAUCUAUAGGAGCCUAAAGGUCCAGGACAAACACUGGUCAACAGUUUUUCUCCUCUGACCCAGUGAAAUGAUCUGCCAUAAGGGUAACACUUGUCUGUGCAGAAGACAGAACUCUCUGAGGCUGGGCCCAGACUGUAGAAGGAAUGCCCCUGGGAACUAAGGGCCAUUGCAAACCUCACCACUUUCCCCUCCGAGUGCAAGGUGCAUUUCUUUGACCUUGCCUUAUAUAACAUAAAUACAGAGCAACAGGUGUAUUUAAAUACACUCUACCACAACAAGACACUCCCCUGCACAUGCUUCCCGCCCUGAAGUAGAUGAGAACACAAACAUGUGACCGAUGUUAAUCAUGUUGCUUAAUGCAUGACUGAAAGGUGGUCAGAUACCAUGGGGAUGAGCACAGGAUAAGAAUAGAGAUAAUUAA